rnacentral:rRNA from 1 species
UACGUAGGGUCCAAGCGUUGUCCGGAUUUAUUGGGCGUAAAGAGCUCGUAGGCGGCUCAGUAAGUCGGAUGUGAAAACUCGGGGCUCAACCCCGGGACGCCAUCCGAUACUGCUGUGGCUUGAGUCUGGUAGGGGAACACGGAAUUCCUGGUGUAGCGGUGAAAUGCGCAGAUAUCAGGAGGAACACCGGUGGCGAAGGCGGGUCUCUGGGCCGAUACUGACGCUGAGGAGCGAAAGCGUGGGGAGCGAACAGG